CGGGUAACGGAGAAUUAGGGUUCGAUUCCGGAGAGGGAGCCUGAGAAACGGCUACCACAUCUACGGAAGGCAGCAGGCGCGCAAAUUGCCCAAUCCUGACACGGGGAGGCAGUGACAAGAAAUAACAACUCUAGGUUUUCUUAGAAGUGUAAUGAGGAUAAUUUACAAACCUUACCGAAUGCAAUUGGAGGGCAAGUCUGGUGCCAGCAGCCGCGGUAAUUCCAGCUCCAAUAGCGUAUAUUAAAGUUGUUGCAGUUUAAAAAGCUCGUAGUUGAAAAUCUGAUUGCUCAGGUCUUCAGCCUUUAGGCGGGGAUACUGACAGUCAUCCGCUUGCAAAUAUAAGUUCGAUCUUCACCGGUUGGCUAUAUGAGCAAGCAAUUUACCUUGAGAAAAACAGAGUGUUCCAGGCAGGUUUGUCCGGAAUGCAUUAGCAUGGAAUAAUAGAACAUGACUGAAG
rnacentral:rRNA from 1 species